rnacentral:rRNA from 1 species
GGUUAAGCGACUAAGCGUACACGGUGGAUGCCCUGGCAGUCAGAGGCGAUGAAGGACGUGCUAAUCUGCGAUAAGCGUCGGUAAGGUGAUAUGAACCGUUAUAACCGGCGAUUUCCGAAUGGGGAAACCCAGUGUGAUUCGUCACACUAUCAUUAACUGAAUCCAUAGGUUAAUGAGGCGAACCGGGGGAACUGAAACAUCUAAGUACCCCGAGGAAAAGAAAUCAACCGAGAUUCCCCCAGUAGCGGCGAGCGAACGGGGAGCAGCCCAGAGCCUGAAUCAGUGUGUGUGUUAGUGGAAGCGUCUGGAAAGGCGCGCGAUACAGGGUGACAGCCCCGUACACAAAAAUGCACAUACUGUGAGCUCGAUGAGUAGGGCGGGACACGUGGUAUCCUGUCUGAAUAUGGGGGGACCAUCCUCCAAGGCUAAAUACUCCUGACUGACCGAUAGUGAACCAGUACCGUGAGGGAAAGGCGAAAAGAACCCCGGCGAGGGGAGUGAAAAAGAACCUGAAACCGUGUACGUACAAGCAGUGGGAGCACAGAGCAAUC